rnacentral:lncRNA from 1 species
GGAAUGCGCUCUCACUGUGUUCAGACCUGUCCCAGAUUUCCGUCUGAUUUGAAACGGGAGGGAAAGGAGUCUCCUUCUCAGGGAAAGGACUCUGUCUCUUACACCGGCGCUGGCAGCCACCCUCCCAGGCACGGCUGGCGGUUACCACCAGCUUCAAUGACACAUCUCAAUAUCUUUCAGGAAAACAAACAGCCCUCUCCCCCAGACAAAAGCAGCUCAGGCUGCCCGCGAGCAAACAAAAAGGACUGAGCUGUGGCCGCCGAGCGCUGAGGGGAGUCCGACCCGGAGCAGCUCCCGCCCGCCGGGGCCAGGCGGUGCCUCGCGGCUCCCCAGGGGCUACCUCAGGGCAGGGAGCGGGGGGCACUCCCGCGUGCGGGGACGGGAGGAGGUUCAACCCACACCUGUGCCGGAGGCAGGCACGCACAGGAGCACGGGGGAAGGCGGGAGAGGACCCGAGCGCCCCGCGCAGCGGCGGGGCCGAGCGCCUCAGGUGUGCCGCCAAGGACGGCGCGGAGGCUGCCGAGCUCCAGCCGCCCCCCAGAUUUAAAGGAUGAGAUCAUUUCUGUUGGAUGUCCAGCUGUUAAAGAAUCUGCAUCUCUUUUUAAGAAGCUCAAGAGGAAAACACAGCGUCCUUGCCAGAAAAACAAUCAGAUAAUAAGAUUGGAUUUUCUUUAAUUGGGAAGAAAAGAGUCAGACAUGAUGUGAUGUGGGGAUGAAUCAGCACAAACAAGAAUGUCUGUGACCCAGAAUUCUUUAAUGUUGAAAUGACUGCCAUAUUGUGUGUGGAAUUACUUUUAGUUCUUGCACUCGAGUUUUCCAUCUUCACUGCACCAUGUAGCCAAUAUGCUGUAUUUCCACGCUGUGCUAAUUCUGAGGAUUUUAUCACAAGUCCCUUGACAGAUGUUUACCUUCCUAGGGCUUAACUCUCAAACUAAGGAAAAGAGACCAAUCUUGGUUAACAUUUUAUGUGAAGGUUCGUUUCUGAUCACUCUGUCUACAGGAAAAUUUGAUGGCAGAUCCGCCUCAGGUUUCUACAGUAUUUGUCUGCUGCCCAUCACUUGAUUUCUUUGUUUAAAGCUGAGGUCUGGCAGAUGCGCCUUAGGUCCUUACACAAUUAAUGUCUCCAGGGGAAGUUUUGCAGGAGUCAGGGACCUUCAUCCUUGCAACACUCAACAAGAUACACCAGGAGAAAGGCAGUGUGGUUUGCUCACUUGUUCACAUACAGACUCUGUUUUGCUGUUGCUAGAAGUUUAUAUUACGUCACUAUUUGUUCCAGAGUUUUCUUUGUCUUCCUCUUACCAUUCCUUUAAAUUAUUUCUUAUUAUUGUUUAUAUCCUUUGAAUUUGAAGGACCAUUACCAGAUUUUAAGCUAUAAGAAUUGUAGUCAUUUGAACAAAUUUCAGAAUGUUGAUUGAUUUAUUAUGAUGCUUUCAGAGCAGAGGGAGAAUUUACUUAUAGCAGAAGGCAUUUUUCCUUUCCAUGGGAUUGAUUAUGAAUUCUGUGAUGGCUGUACAAAUGGGAAGAGUGACUGAACUUCAAUAAUAAGGGAAAAGACAGACACUGCUAAUGCUGUGCUGAGAUGUGGUUAAAGACAGAGCUUAUGGGAACAAAGUACUUGCACAAGUACAGUUGUCAUAUCAUCAAUCAGUUAUUAUUCAGAAUGUUUUCCCCCAAACUCUUAAUGCUGAUAAACAAAUCUGGAGCUGUCCCUAUGGUAUGCCCUUGCCCUUCUGAAGGAUAUAUGCAGCUUUAUUACAACUGUUGAAGACAGCAAUACAGAAAAUUUUACAUUUGGUCUGCUUUGAUGAUAUAUUGGUAAUUUGCUAAUAUUUGUAAUUUGUGGUGGUAAAUAAGGAUAUAUUAGAGAUCCAUUUCCAACAAAGAUCUUCAGUAUUAUUGGUGGCACACCUUAUCAAUGUACUUUAGAGGUCUGAAGAGCAGGUGGAAGGAGUAAUUGAAUGUCCAAACGGUACUUGUCUUCUGUCAUUUGGGGGAUGCUGGAAGGAAGAGUAUAUCAAAAUUCUCCAAGUCCUCUGAUGGCAGCUAAUGUUCUUCUGUUGAUGAAGGAAGCCAGAUGUAGAAAGAAAGUCUAUGGUCUGCAAAACACAAAGCAGUCCUUAAUUUUACUGGGAAGAAAGGUGGCUUAAACUGACUGAAGAGGACUUUAACCAUAGACACAAACAUUAAAUGAUUCUUUAUCCAAUGGGGAAAGCCUAUGCAAAAAUCAAUCACUGAAGGGAAACAGAAGGCAGAAAGGUGUAGCUUUCAAUUUGGUGAUCCAGGUUAGCAGAGGCAGUGACUACAACUAGAAUGGACACCUUGACUUUCUCCCAUCCCAUACUGUAGACACAUGAUCCCACGUUCUCCCUUGCACUGGCGUUUUUCUGACUACAUAGCACAAGGAUGCUAAGCUGACAAAACGUGGCUUGCAUUUUCUGGUUGGCAGGGUGCUCUGUCAGCUCUGAUUUUUGAACCAGCUUGUGGUAGGAUCCAGCAAGCAUCAGUACAAGGGCAUUGUGUGACAGCAGGUGGGAAGGAGAGCAGGGCUGCAGGACUGUGUUUUGGCAGCAG